UUUUAUUAUUUAUUAUUUUAUUAAUUUAAAUUAAUUUUUUUACUUAAGUUAAUUUAUUUAGAUAAUUUCAAUAUUAUUUAUUAUUUUUUAAAUUAUGUUAUGUUAUAUAUAUAUAAUUAUUAUUAAUAAUGAUUUCCAUUAUUAUCAUUAACAAAAUCAAUAUAUUUGAAAACGUUAAUGGAUAAAGGAAGACUAUGGUGGUAACUUCAUGUGUGUGACGUGAUUUUCCCUUCAUCACUCUAUCAUUUCUCUUCAUUCUUGAAAUGAUCCCCAACCUCUCCACUUUCUCCGUCAACACCCUCACCUGCAUGUAACCCUUGAAAUAAACGGGAGUGAUACCCACACAUCCGUUGUCGACAACUGUGUCACCCCUAAAACAAACAUAGUGUAAGUAACUUUUUUUUUUAUCAGUACCUCUCAGAAACAAUUUAACAUAAAUAUAUAGUCAAUUACAAUAUAAUCUUUAAAUAUUAGACUAUUAUAUUGUAAAAUUUAUAUUUAUAUUUACUCUAUUAGCAAUUUUAAUCAUUAUAAGUGUUAAUACAAUUAUUUAAUUUGUUAUUUUUAUUUAAUGUCAAUUUCUUAUUCAAUUAUUUUAUUCAGUUAUUUUUUAUCUCUG
rnacentral:lncRNA from 1 species